AAAAAAAAGAUAAAUUAGGGGAAGUUUGAAUUUUAAAUAAUUCAGUUUAAUAGGCUAAACUAUAUAAACUAAUUCCUAUUCACUAGGAAACAUCCCAUAUCACUGUCCUAAGAAAAUGGGUUUUUCUAAAAAUCCAUUGAAAAAUGGAUUUUUAUUAGUAGUUAAAAGAUUACUAAUCAAUUCCUGAGCAACAGCAACCUCAUCAUCUACUGCUUUCCCCAUCCAAGUCCCACUCAGCGAGGGCAGGCUCUCACUCCUAAAAAGUUUAAGUAGAACAGAGACCUAAAAAGUUGGGUUUUAAUUGGAAAUCGAUCACUUCAAAGAUUAAUAGGUUAAAAAAGCCAAGCAGGAUGGAUCAACCCAUUCCACCUUUUUCCUCAAUAACUCCAGAGACAAAACUUUUAAAAAAAUUAUUUGACUGCACCAGAAAAGCAACCAGAUGUACCUCGAGAAAACCAAAGGAUCACAAAUCUGAGAACUUCAGGGUUAGCAUCAAACUUUGAAUUUUCAGAUGUGAUUUUAUUUUUAUACCAUAAAGAACUCAAGGAGCCUCUUCAGGAAGGUCCCAAACCUUUUUGCAAAAAGCAAAAUUACUGGAGAAUUAUUUCCCAAAUUUUGUUGUCUCGGGUUUAAACCCUGAAGUUCCCUAUAACAGCAUCUUUCAAUGCAAUAUUCAGGCUAAAUAGAUAUUUAUAUAUUUAUAAUGUAAGGAUAAAUAAAAUAUGGCACAACAACAUUUUAAAACUGGAACUGCAGCUUUUAGUGAAAACCUGAUCCGCAAUUGGAGCGGAAAAUGGAAAUGAAGCAACAAACAAAGGAAGAAAAAAACCCUUUAAAACCAGAAAGACUUCAAAUAUUCACACACUGACUGCACAUCUGUGCUCCCAAAACUCCAAUUCCUGUGAUUUUUCCUCAGUGCUGCAAAGAUAGUUCACAAAAACACUGUGUAGUUUCUGCUCCCCGAAAGGAUUUUGGGUUCAGAGCCCUGUCUAAAGCCCUCCCUGCUCCCAAUCCUUAAUCCUCUCUGUGCUUUUGGCUCAGGCAAAACAACAAGAAAAGCAGAAUUUUCCAUGACAGCCACGCCUGGGAGUUGGGAUAACUCCAGGGUGGAGUGACCCAGGGCAGAACACACAGAGAAUGCUCAGGUUUCCACACCCUGGAUCAGAAUUUCAGCACCAAAAGCAAAUGGGUCACACAGGAGCCACCUCAGCAUCAGCACAGGAGAAAUCCCAGAAUGCUGGGGAAAUCCUGCUCCAGAGCUGCAGCCCUGGGACAGGGACAGGGACAGGGAGCCAGGACAGGUGGCCCCAGGUUUGGGGCAGCUCCAGACCCAGCUGAGGAGGGAAGGAGGAACAGGAGGGGAAUCACCAUGAGCAGCCUGAGAACAGCUCCCAGAGCUGGGAGUCUCCCCUGCCAGCAAUCUGCAGGACCUGCAGGGGCAGAGGAGCCAGAGCACCCUGAGGGCACAGGUGGCACAGGUCCCACAGGUGGCACAGGUCCCACAGGUGACACAAGUCCCACAGGUGGCACAAGUGGCACAGGUCCCACAGGUGGCACAGGUCCCACAGAUCCUACAGGUGACACAGGUGGCACAGGUCCCACAGGUGGCACAGGUCCCACAGGUCCCACAGGUGACACAAGUGGCACAAGUCCCACAGGUGGCACAGGUCCCACAGGUGGCACAGGUCCCACAGAUCCUACAGGUGACACAGGUGGCACAGGUCCCACAGGUGGCACAGGUCCCACAGAUCCUACAGGUGACACAGGUGACACAAGUCCCACAGGUGGCACAGGUGGCACAGGUCCCACAGGUCCCCAGUGCCAAGUUGGCCCCCAAAGGGAGCCAGAGGAGCUGCAAGCA